GGGAUCGCUUACGGCCUUUGCUACGCUAUGCCACGCUUACAGCCUCUGCUCUUUCAGCGAACCAGUUUGUGUUCAGAGAGCAGGAAGAAAGCGUUGGAAAUGGAUCCAGUUCAAUUCACGUAUUGGAGAGAAAAACUGGACCGUCUUGACACUUCUCUCUCCAAUGACGCUGAAAUCUGCCAGCAACAACACCAUUAAAGGAAGCAAAAGGAAAUUCCAAGUGCUCUUCCAAGAUCAAGAAAGUUGACGUAGAGCUAUAGGCUCUUUCUGAGAUGUAUUUCACACGACUCAGCAUGGGCGAGCUUGGUUACAAUAAAUC